UACGUAGGGUCCGAGCGUUGUCCGGAAUUACUGGGCGUAAAGAGCUCGUAGGUGGUUUGUCGCGUUGUUCGUGAAAACUCACAGCUUAACUGUGGGCGUGCGGGCGAUACGGGCAGACUUGAGUACUGCAGGGGAGGACUGGAAUUCCUGGUGUAGCGGUGGAAUGCGCAGAUAUCAGGAGGAACACCGGUGGCGAAGGCGGGUCUCUGGGCAGUAAUUGACGUGAGGAGCGAAAGCGUGGGGAGCGAACAGG
rnacentral:rRNA from 1 species